rnacentral:rRNA from 1 species
AAAGUUCGUAGUGACCUGCGGAGGAUCAUUACCGAUUUACGAGAUGUGCUGGCUUCAUCGCAUGUGCACUCUCAUUAAUCUUUCACCCCCUUGUGCACUAUAAAUUAUUUUAUACUCUUGUCAUAGAUUUUGUUGAUUAUAUUUAAUCUUAUACAACUUUCAACGACGGAUCUCUUGGCUCUCGCAUCGAUGAAGAACGCAGCGAAUAGCGAUAUGUAAUGUGAAUUGCAGAUCUCAGUGAGUCAUCGAAUCUUUGAACGCAUCUUGCACCCUUUGGUAUUCCGAAGGGUAUGUCUGUUUGAGUGUCAUUAAUAUCAUCAAUUGUAUAUCUUUUUUAAAGGUAUUCAGUUGGAUUUGGAGGUAUUCUGCUGGCUGCAAAGUUAGCUCCUCUUAAAUAUAUUAGCGGUACUACGGUUACUAGCUUCAGUUUGAUAAAUAUCUAGCUGCUGCUAUAAACUUUUAAUGUAUUGCUUAUAGUCGUCUUCGGACUAUGCUUUACGCGUAUAUUUGAAUCUUGACCUCAAAUCAGAUAGGGCUACCCGCUGAACUUAAGCAUAUCAAUAAGCGGAGGAAAAGAAACUAACAAGGAUUCCCCCAGUAACUGCGAGUGAAGAGGGAAGAGCUCAAAUUUAAAAAUCUGGCAGUCUCGCUGUCCGAGUUGUAAAUUAGAGAAGUGCAAUCCGCGCUGGCCUGUGCACAAGUCUUUUGGAAAAAAGCAUCAUAGAGGGUGACAAUCCCGUCUAUUGGCACAGAUCCCCAGGGCUUAGUGAUGCGCUUUCGACGAGUCGAGUUGUUUGGGAAUGCAGCUCAAAUUGGGUGGUAAAUUCCAUCUAAAGCUAAAUAUUGGCGAGAGACCGAUAGCGAACAAGUACCGUGAGGGAAAGAUGAAAAGAACUUUGGAAAGAGAGUUAAACAGUAUGUGAAAUCGUUGGAAGGGAAACGCUUAAAGUCAGUCGUCUUUGUCGGGGAUCAGCUUGGCGCUUGCGUCUAGUGUACUUCCCUUCAGAGGGGUCAGCAUCAAUUUUGAUGGCUGGACAAAGGUAAGAGGAAUGUGGCAUCUUCGGAUGUGUUAUAGCCUCUUACUAUACAGUCGUUGGGAUUGAGGAUCACAGCAUGAACCUGGGGCCC